rnacentral:rRNA from 1 species
AACAGGAUUAGAUACCCUGGUAGUCCACGCCGUAAACGAUGUCGACUUGGAGGUUGUUCCCUUGAGGAGUGGCUUCCGGAGCUAACGCGUUAAGUCGACCGCCUGGGGAGUACGGCCGCAAGGUUAAAACUCAAAUGAAUUGACGGGGGCCCGCACAAGCGGUGGAGCAUGUGGUUUAAUUCGAUGCAACGCGAAGAACCUUACCUACUCUUGACAUCCACGGAAUUCGGCAGAGAUGCCUUAGUGCCUUCGGGAACCGUGAGACAGGUGCUGCAUGGCUGUCGUCAGCUCGUGUUGUGAAAUGUUGGGUUAAGUCCCGCAACGAGCGCAACCCUUAUCCUUUGUUGCCAGCGAUUCGGUCGGGAACUCAAAGGAGACUGCCGGUGAUAAACCGGAGGAAGGUGGGGAUGACGUCAAGUCAUCAUGGCCCUUACGAGUAGGGCUACACACGUGCUACAAUGGCGCAUACAAAGAGAAGCGACCUCGCGAGAGCAAGCGGACCCCAUAAAGUGCGUCGUAGUCCGGAUCGGAGUCUGCAACUCGACUCCGUGGGGUCGGAAUCGCUAGUAAUCGUGGAUCAGUAUGCCACGGUGAAUACGUUCCCGGGCCUUGUACACACCGCCCGUCACACCAUGGGAGUGGGUUGCAAAAGAAGUAGGUAGCUUAACCUCCGGGAGGGCGCUUACCACUUUGUGAUUCAUGACUGGGGUGAAGUCGUAACAAGGUAACC